rnacentral:lncRNA from 1 species
GGGUACAAGGGCAUCAUUUAAUUUUUUGUCAGUUAAUUUAGUUAAAUUUCAUAAUACUCCCGAAAUUGGUGGACUAACUAUUAUAAAAUCGCUAUUUUCUAGAGAAACGGAGACAACAAAAGUUCCAAACCUCUUUAACCUUCAUCAUAUGUUAGUAAAUGAUGCACUUAUGCAUUGAAAUAGUAUUUUCAUAUUUUUGAAUUUUUCUCAAAAUCUAUGUGUUAAUAACCCCCUACGAAAAUAUUGAAUUUUUCGUUAAA